UUCACUGUCGUUUGAAAAUAAUUAGGCAAUAUCUCAUCUGAGGUAGGAUGUUUCUAGUGGUUGUGUUCUGAGGGAGAAAAACUAAUCUGUUCUCUUUCCACUGCAUUCUAGGAACAGUAAGAGGACCUUGUGCAUGAAUAAUUUGUUUCCACACUACAGACAGAAGAAUUCCAGACUUCUUAGAGAACCCAGUGACUUUUUGCACCUUAAAUCUGUGAAAUCCUCAUGUUUUCUUCUGCAGUAUCCAUAGUUCAAACAAAGAUGAGGCAAAGCUAGAUGCAUUCCUGAAGGAACCCAAGAAAUUCCUCUCUUUCUGUCUCUGGAAUGAAAUGAAUUCUCUAGACCAUCAGUUCUAACCUUCAAAAACAAACCUGUUUGUGAGAUCUCCUUCAAAUACUACUGUAGACCCCAGUGUUUAUUCAUUAAAUUUUUAAAAUAUUUGUUUUAUUUGGAA